CAAUGAUGUCAUCCAUGUUCUCAACCAAAAAGGCCACCAGCAGCUUCACUUGCAUACAGCUCUCACAAGGGAAGGCUUCCCGUGCAUUGCUGCAAAAUUUCACUGCCAGCCAGCAAGAGUGAGCUGUGUGAAAAUUGCCUCUUCAGGACAGCAUCCUUUUCCAGAUACAAGCCAAGCAGGCAUUUGCUUAAAAAUAGGCGUCUAGCACUGAUUUUCCUGCCAACAAUUC